AGUAGGAUAAGCUAAUCCAUAAGCUGUUGGGCUCAUAACCCAAAAAUAGAAUUUUUCUUCCUACUA
rnacentral:tRNA from 1 species